CCUUGAUGAUUAGGGCAUUUAUGUAGAAGGUCCUUAAAGCGUUCCCAAGUCUCAAAAAUUUAUUUCCCAUCUAUCUGUGUGAAAAUAGUGAUUGCCUUCCUUAGCUA